rnacentral:rRNA from 1 species
UGGGGAAUCUUGGUCAAUGGGCGCAAGCCUGAACCAGCGACGCCGCGUGAGUGAUGAAGGCCUUCGGGUUGUAAAGCUCUGUGGGGAGAGACGAAAGAAUCGGUUCUAACAGGACCGAAGUUGACGGUAUCUCCUUAGCAAGCACCGGCUAACUCUGUGCCAGCAGCCGCGGUAAUACGAAGGGGGCUAGCGUUGCUCGGAAUCACUGGGCGUAAAGCGAACGUAGGCGGAUCUUUAAGUCGGGGGUGAAAUCCUGGAGCUCAACUCCAGAACUGCCUUCGAUACUGGGGAUCUUGAGUCCGGAAGAGGUGAGUGGAACUGCGAGUGUAGAGGUGAAAUUCGUAGAUAUUCGCAAGAACACCAGUGGCGAAGGCGGCUCACUGGUCCGGUACUGACGCUGAGGUGCGAAAGCGUGGGGAGCAAA